CUGUAAACAGCAAUAAUGUUAAGCAAAAUAAGACCUACAAAUAAGUCAACAUGACCAAAAUUGUCAGUUUACCCCUUAAGGAGUUAUUGCCCUUUAUAGUCAUUUUUUUACAAUUUUCAUAAAUUUUUGUAAAUUUUUAGAAUAUAUUUUCCACUGUAAUUACUGGGCCAAGUUCAUUAUAGAUAGAGAUAAUUGUAGCAAGAAGAAUGUCCAGUAAAGUAAGAUCUACAAACACAUCAUGAUCACCAAAACACAAUUUUGUCAUGAAUUUAUCUGUGUCCAUUGUUUAAUAUUCACAUAGACCAAGGUGAGCGAC
rnacentral:lncRNA from 1 species